UAAAACUGAGAAAGACAUCAUG
rnacentral:miRNA from 1 species